GACAGAGGUGGCGAGCGUUGUUCGGAAUUACUGGGCUUAAAGGGCGCGUAGGCGGUGGUGUAAGUCUGGGGUGGAAUGCUACAGCUCAACUGUAGAGCUGCCUUGGAAACUGCAUUACUUGAGUCGGUGAGGGGAAGGCGGAAUUCCUGGUGUAGCGGUGAAAUGCGUAGAUAUCAGGAGGAAGGUCUGUGGCGAAGGCGGCCUUCUGGCACUUGACUGACGCUGAGGCGCGAAAGCGUGGGGAG
rnacentral:rRNA from 1 species